UACGUAGGGGGCAAGCGUUAUCCGGAAUUAUUGGGCGUAAAGGGUGCGUAGGCGGCUCUUUAAGCGCGGGGUGAAAGGCAAUGGCUCAACCAUUGUCAGCCUUGCGAACUGAGGAGCUUGAGUGCAGGAGAGGAAAGUGGAAUUCCUAGUGUAGCGGUGAAAUGCGUAGAUAUUAGGAGGAACACCAGUGGCGAAGGCGACUUUCUGGACUGUAACUGACGCUGAGGCACGAAAGUGUGGGGAGCAAACA
rnacentral:rRNA from 1 species